rnacentral:misc_RNA from 1 species
CUAUCCUUCGUUCACCGCCGAGACGCACAGACACGAAAAUCAGGAUUCUAAAAUUUGUCGAACCUUUUUUUGGGGGGCAGCUUUAGUGUGCAACAGCUUUUUUGGCUAGUGUUGGACACCCCACUUGAAAGUGUGCGAGCUUUUGAACAAAACAAAAAAGUGUUGUGUAAUUUGAAGUGCUUUUUUUCAUUUUUCCGAAGGGGAUGCUGCAUCGGGAUUAACCUCAAUUUCCGGAAAUGUGAGCCCUCUUGGAAGUUUCGAGCGGAAAAAAAGAAACAAGAGUGAACAAAAAAGAGGAAGAAAUUAAAAACAGGAAGAGAACAAGAGCGCAAAGUUAGUGUGAGUGUGCAAUCCCGGAUCCAUCAAUCUAUAAUCGUCGUCGUCGUCGUCGUCGUUCAAGUUGUAGUCGUUGAAGUUGUGUUUUGAAGUGUGCUUUUCCUCUCAUUGCUGCUGCCCCGGCUUCAGUUUUGCUCAACUUGUGUGUGAUGUUCUCUCUCCUGCCUGGAUUUCCCCUGUGGGAUGUGGAUGUUGCUUACCUGGUUUGACUGACUGACUCUUCCAGGCUUGCUGCGUUCACCAAAGUGGAAAACUUUCGCACCAAGAAACCUUGAAAUUUGCCAAACGAUGCAAAUUGCUACGGGUUGAAAGUGUGUGUGUGUUUGCACAAAAAAGUGAGUUUCUGCGGAAAAUUGGCAAACUUUGGUACUUUUUAUUUGUCUCUGCAACGCUUUGCAAUUUUCCCUGGAAUCACCCUAACAAAAAAAAAACGGAAUCAGCCCGUGAAGAACCGCUGAGGAGUUCGAGAGGAGGAGCAAGGGCUAUCGCAUUUUCGUCAUGAAAAGAAAAUCCCCAGAUAAAAAUUGAUAGAAUCCGAAAAGGAGAUUAAACACCUCGCCACUUCCACGUCUUUGGUCCUCCCCAGGGGCCAGCGAGCAAACUUUCCCGGACCAGACAGAGACAGAGACAGUGGCAGUCGACUUUGUCACCGAGCAAGCAACAUCCAGAAACAGACUCCCAUCAAUCACGUGCCAAAAAUCAUGUAAAAGCCAAGUAAAAGAUUGAAAAUCUCAACCCAACCAAAAUCCAAUCACCGACCUAAACCAAGCCACACGAUGGAGGACUCCCGGGGAACGCGCUCGCGCAAGGACCUCAAAAAGACCCACGCCGACUCGUGGCCCAGCCGGACGUCGCUGCCGGCCAGUCCGAAAAUCAUCAAGACCACCGAGGACGACAACGAUGUGUUCGAGUUCAGCCACCAGUUUAUCAGCCGCCGGAAGCAGUCCUCGUCGGCGUCGUCCCACACGACGACCUCGGUGACCACGCCGACGGGAGGGGCGACCGGGUCGUCCUGCACCGGGGCAUCCGGGACGACGGGAGAGGGUGACGGUGACGGCGGGGUGCAGUACGAGUAUGGGGCGAUUAGUCCGCGGUUUGAACGAAAACGCUUCGAGUACUGUUACCCAACCGUGUCCAAGGAGGACUUUUCCAACAGUAUAUCCCUCGACAAUCACGACAUCGAUCGCAAAAAGAAACGCAUUUAUCCCAGCAAAACGCCGGAAAAUUCUCUCGAAAAUGAACCAUUAUUCCUGGACGGUUCCGGUGGGGCAGCCAGCUGUAGCUCGCCGGGGGCGGUCACAGUGUCCACCUCGGUCACCGGCACCGGGACGGCCACCACGACCACGGCACCCGUGCCGCACAGUUCAAGGGCAAAGUCACCGGUGGUGGGGGGUCGUUCACCGCGGCACUCGCGCCGCCAGCUCAACAGCGAGAUCAACAUCACGUCCAAUCCAGGCUACCAGGUCCUCCGCAAUUCCCAUUCGACGUUGGACCGCACCUGCUCGGACAGCGUGGUGUCACUGCACUAUCACAAAUCGACCAGUGACCUGACCCAGACCACGGCCGAAAUGUCCGGAGGCGGUGGCAGUGGAGUCGGCCCCGGUUCCGGCGCACGGAAGGGACGCCGACGAAGCAGCCACAAAGGCCUGGCCCUGCUGGCCAGCCGGAAGGGGUCACGUGAUUCGGUCAAAAGUGGGGCCUCCAACACGUCCGUGUUCUCGAACGAGGACGUCGGUCCGCUUGCGUUCCAGUCGUCGGCCCGGGGACGCCAACGGAGGACAUCAAACUUUCUCGAGCUGCCAAUUCCGGAUCACGCGAGGCCCCGUGUGUGCUCGUUGCCGGAGCGGCCGUACAACCCGCGCCAGAGUGACGACCUGUACCGGCUGAGGCACUUUUCGAUCAGCAAGGGAACCGUGGUCAACUGUGGCGAUUCGAUUAUAUCGCGACGUUCGAAGAGUAAUACCAGCGUCAAUUCCACGGCUAGUCGCGCCAGCGAACGUUCCCCCUUCGACGGAUCCUGCUGCGGGGGAGGAUACGCCACGGUGGACUCACUCCCGUCCUCGCCGGUUGGGGGCGACGAGGAAGACAGCGAACCCAUCCCGACCAGGUACCGCGUGGUGAUGCUGGGCGAUUCUGGCGUCGGCAAAACGGCGCUCGUGUCGCAGUUCAUGACGUCCGAGUACAUGCACACAUACGACGCCAGUCUUGAUGGUGGAGAAGACGACGAGUUUGGCGAAAAGACCGUUAGCGUCCUGCUGGAUGGCGAAGAGUCCGAGAUGAUAUUCAUCGAUCACCCGAACGUCGAGAUGAGUGUGGAGAACUCGUUAUCAACAUAUGAACCUCAUUGCUGCGUGGUCGUCUACUCGAUCGUGGACCGCAACACGUUCCGCGUCACCGAGGAGAUCCUCAACUAUCUGUGGUCGGAGAACUACACCAAGGAGAAGGCGGUCAUCAUCGCGGCCAACAAGUCCGACCUGGCCCGGUCCCGGGCAAUCAGCACUUCGGAGGGGAAACAGUUAGCCACCUCGCGGGAGGCGAAAUUCAUCGAAACGUCCAGCGGAAUCCAGCACAACGUGGACGAACUGCUCGUGGGUGUGCUGAAACAGAUCCGCCUCAAGGAGCAGCGCGAGAAGCGCGCCAGCGCCACCAACCUGCGCAACUCGCGCACCCAGAUGUCGCUGCACAUCGCCAAAGAGAUCCUGCACAAGAUCUGCCUCACCGACAUCACCAAGUCGAAGAGCUGUGAAAACCUGCACGUGCUGUAAAUCGAAUUUAUGCUCCCAAAGAAAUUCCGAAUUCACUCUUCCGAACUUUGCCAUAUCAUGAAAAACGCGCUCAGAGUUGAGAUUUCAAAAAGAAGAGAGUUUUUAGUGAACGUGUAAACCUAGUUAGAUUCACUUCAAAUCAAACCACUUGAGCACAAAAAAAAGCUCACACACGUGGGGUGGGGAAGUGGGAAAAAGCCGUAAACCUACAUAACCUAAUAUCAUCGCCACACGAGACGAAGACGGCGAAGAAGCGCGCGAACGUAAGUACGAGUCGUAAAUCGAGUAGAAAACGUUUAACGUGCAGGGGUUUUAGCGCAAAAAAAGAAAAAAAAAAGAGAUGAGAUUUAUUCGCAUCAACCACACUUCUAAGUAAAAAACGAAAGGCCCACAAAUUAUAUUACCCUUCCUAGUCGUAAAAUUUGCAAAGAAGCCCCGGGUGAAAUCUAAUUAGUCAGUAAUAACACGGUUUGUUAAAUUUUCGAACACUCCGAAUUAAUUGAUCGAGAUAAAGUUUAUCUCCGAACAAUGAUCAAAAUCUUUGACAUGUAAAAUUAUAUUAAUUUAAACCAAACAAAACAUGUUUUGACAAAUUAACAAGCCGUGUUCUUACUACCUCAACAUCACUUUGCUCGGGGUUAAACGUGCUCAAAACAUGCAGGAAAGACCUGUGCCAAACUUGACCCCUCAGACUGAACCUGGCGUGUACGCACACACACACUCUUAUUUGUCCUCUUCGGUUCCGAACCGGUGGACGACCCCCCCCCUCCUCCCAUGUGACUCUCCCACCACCCCCGCCAAGUUCCCUGGCGAAACAAAACCUGUUGCUGACGGCGGUGGCCUUUUUGGUGUGUGUUGCUAAAGUUGUUGUUGCUGUUGCCGUUUGUUGAGUGUUGUUGAUAGGACCCGGACCGCGCCGCGUCUUGUACAUAUGUUUGUGUUCCCUUGACAUUCACCUUUCUUCGAUGAUGCUCGAUUGAAAAAACCCGCGCGGGGCCACUUUCGAGUGCGUGGCCAUGUGUGUCGCUCGAUGCCCUCAAGGGAUCGAGGGCGGGGAGGGUUGUUUGGCAAGUUUCACUUGAGAGGAGCAAGGCUUUUUUUGGAUCGAAAUCAGCUAAACAACAAUCCCUGUUCCCUUUGAGAACGGCAAAUUCACUCACCAAACUAGCUUAGAUUAGGCACUGCUCCCGAGAUAUCGCAUACGCAUUAUUGGAAGAAACGCUUCCCACCGAUUAAUAUUGCAAGUUAAUGACAACUCAAACGCUUUUAACUGUUUUCUCUAGUAAUUAUGUGCUCUUUCAGUUGCGUGUGAUGAGUAGCUAAUAAUAACAAUAAGUAUUAUAAGUGCAGCUGGAAAUGUUUGCCAAACGUUAUACAUAAGUUGGCUAUUAUAAAAGAAUAUAUAUAUCCUAUUGAUAGCACUGUUGAUUCUAAAAAAGGAAAUGGCGAUAAAUAAUUGCGCAUAUAUAAAUAUAUUUAAAUUACGUAUUAUGUAAGACUGGAGACAAUGAACCCAUAAAUCAAAAAGGGGAAACAGACAAAAAUGCAGACAGCAGUAGGCGACGACGACGCGACGCGACGAAACUUAACCUUAAUCGGCCUACUACUAGUAGUGGAUGUUUUCAAUGUUGUUUUAAGGAGGUGUUACACUGCAUCAUGUUUUGUUUUGACAGAUUAGCAGCUUGAAGCUCAUAACUUUUUAUCAUUUUUUUAAUGAUUUUUUUCGUACCGUAAACUGGGUUGACUUCUAUACAAGUUUAGAUUUGCUAAAAAAAUCAAAUUAUUCGCUCUAAAGAGGUUUGAUUGUUGAGGCAAUUGCAAACCUCUUUUUACACCUACGCUUCAAUCCACCCCGGAAUUGGAACUGACGACCUUUGGAUUGUUAGUCCAACUGUCUACCAGCGACUCUACCGAGGCACCCAGGGAGACAACUCCUACACCUGGAUUGAGCUAUCGACCUAACCUCUAGGAUAGACCGGGGCCAACAUUUACUUCCCCGUCCGAUGGAAGGCGCGAUUAGACAAAUCUCGUCUCAAAAUUUGCCACCGCGACCUUCUGGGAUCGAACCCAGGCCGACUGGGUGAGAGGCAACCACGUAUCUUAUCUUUUGAAGACAUUCUUCUUAUCGAUUUGGGGUCUUUGCCAAAGUUUCCCAAAAUCCAUAUUUUUUUAAUUUAGAUUUUUAAUGAUAUCCCAAAUUUUGAGCCAAAGAUAAGUUCGAUCAUAUAUAAGUUUUUUUGAAAAAAAAAAAUUUUAGUCAUAAAAUUUCAACUCCUGUUCUUUACAUCAAAUUUUGGAGUUGUAAGAUAUUAAAAAAAAAUAUUUUGAAAAUUGUUAAAUCGAGACUAACAUUACAAAGGUGCGUAAUAUUGAUUAUUUGGCCUUUUUAAAAAUGUGAGUCUCAAUUUCAAAAUUUUUAAGAAUAUUUUUUUCGAAAAACUCAUCAAACUUAACAAAUGUUAAAAUUUUUAACAAUGAAAAUCGAAUCAUUAGUUGCCUAACAAAAUUUUGACUAAAAUUUCUAUUUUGUCCAUUUUUUUUUUCAAAAUUGCAUAGCUCGGUGGCACAAUUUGGUUCAAAAGUUGCGGUUUUUGUCCAGUAAAACAUAGCAAAAAGUUUCAAAAAUUUAAACAUACGGGUCAUGGGAAAUGUUUUUAUUAUAAGGUUAAUAGUAAAAUCAGCAAAAACAAUUGAUUCCGUGUACCUGUUUUAUCGAAAUAGUCAUCAUCAAUACCGACAAUUUUGCAGAAGACACCAAAAAAUUCGAUCAGAAAUCUGAAAAAGUUAGAAGUUCUACAAUAAAACCGCAAAUAAGAUUUUAAAGCUUGUGUACCUUCAAACUCGCUCAAAAAAUUAAGGAAUAAAACUUAAGAAUUAAACAUAUUUCAUUGAUAAAAAAUAUAACUUAAAAACUCUUGCACUCAACAUUGGUUUUUAAUUUAAAAUUUUGUACUUGUUUAAUAUUUGUACUUGUUGACAUGCAAAACAAUUUAAUUUUUUUUAUGAAGUGGAAUAACAGUAAUCAUGUUUUAAGUAUUUUGUAAAAAUAUUACCUUUGAAAAUUUGUGACAUUUAAUGUUUCAACAUUUUCAACGAGGAACUGAAGCAAAAAAACGAAAUAAAAACUUUACUCGCGUUAAGGCUGCACGCAACCAAGAGAGUUGAUGUUUUCUUAGUUCAAAAUUGAAAACAUUACAAAAUAUUCUGUAUAUUUAUAAAGCGUGUCAAAAGUUUGAUAUUGUUUAAAUUUAAUUAGAAAACGUUGCUCGAUGUUUUAGAUCAUUUUUGACGAUUUCAGGCAGUACAAUUUAAAUGGGUUAAACCAUUACACUAUGCUUCGUUUUAUGCCAUUUAUAUUGUUUCGCUUGAUUUGCAAUAAUCCUUUGGGUUAGAAAUGACUUACACUGAAAUAAAAAAAUAGUACCAAAUUCCUUAAUUCUAGGAAUUUUGCCUCUUUUCCUUAUUUAGUAAUCGGAUUUUUUUGAUUACUUAAUAAGGAAAGGAGACAAAAUUCCUAGAAUUUAGGAAUUUGGUAGUCUUAUUUUUUUUUCAGUGUAAAUUUAAAGCUCUUAAUAUUGGGCAAAGUUAAAAAAGUAGAAAAUUCAAAAAUGGAAUUUGAUCGAUUUGGUGUCUUCUACAGAAUUGUUGUGAAACAAAACGUAUUUUUUGUGAACAUAAUAUCCAAUUUUUGAACCAUAUUGUUUAAAACCGAUAUUGAAAAUGGAUUUUUUUUAAAUAUGUUUAAAAAAACAUAAAAAAUAAGUUGUAACAAAAUAUUUGUGAUUAAAACGUACUUUUGAUCAUUUUGGAAAAAAAUUAAAUGUUUUUCAAGUAAUUGCCGUUUAGCAUUUAAUUAUUUGGCACUUUUCAAGUGUUUGUAAGUUCAAAUAUUUGAAAGUAUUUUUUGCAAAAAGAUUAAAAUUAAAAGGCACUUGAUUUUAUAAAAAAAAACCCUAUUUUUGGCAUUGAAACCGGAUCAACAGUUUAAUUGAUAUCAACGUUCCAUAUAUAAAUGAGUUGAAUUGGUUACAAUUAGAAAACCAGAGGUCGGCUCAACAAAUGAUCAUAAACUUAAUUGAUUAAAAAUUUAGAAAUUAUUGGUAGACUUUUAAAUUUAAAAAAAAUCCAAAUUUUGCAAAAGAACUUUUGAUUCCAAAUUUCUACAUUCAAAAAAUAUUGGUUUUCUCUAUUAUAUAUUCCUAUUCCUUCUAAAACGCACUUCAUAAAAAAACAAUCCAAAUUUGGUUAAAAUAUACCCCUCAUAAACUACAACCCAAAAGUUGGCAUUUCGAGUCCACAAAACAUAUUCAAAAAUAUAUGUAAGCUGCAAAAAAGUUUUCCAAAAUCGAUAUUAUGUGAUGAAUAGUUGAUAAAAAAAAUUGGGAUAUUUUUAAAACUGAAAACUUGCGUUGCCUAGUCUUCAAACAAAGUUUCAUGCAGUGAAAUACCUCCUGUAAGUAGAUUUGCCUGCUUGCGAAACUAAAUUUCGGCAACGAUUCUAUCAAUUCUAAACGCAUAACUAGCCGGUCUUAUCGUUGCUGUAAUAGCAAAUUCACUCAGAAAUCGUUAUGCCAAUCUUUUGGUAAAAAAGGCAGCUUUAUCUGUACAGUAGCACAAAUGGCCAUUAGAAAGAGAGAGAAGAAGAAGAAAAACACUCACAAAAGCUUUAAGUGGAAUUUAACAAAAAUGAUGUCCAAACAGCAGUGGUCACUUGAGAUUCUAAAGGGAACAAAACAAGAACAAUACGCGAGGGGGAAGAAGGAUGCUGAUGUUAUCUUCGCAAGUGGAGAAAGAAACUAGAAAGGAGAGGCAGGGAAAUCUUAAACAAUUGUGUCACAGAUUAAAAGUUAUACAAAAAAAGUGUACUAACAAAAAAGUUCAUGUAUUUAAUCAAUUAUAUUAAGCAUAUAAACGAGAAAAAUAGUUUCAAAUGACCUAAAUCUAUAUUAGCAAGGGCAGCAAGAAUAAAGAAAAUUGCUCUGUCAAUUAAAUCCUGGAAAUGACUGUCUAUUUUUCAAGAAGCACAAAACAUCAGUCGGAGCUUGGUCUGAAAGUCUGUAUCAAAAUAUCAAAGUUUAACUAUGACUUACAAAAAUAAAACACGCAAACAACUGUUGGACAGCAUCAAGAGGCAAACUUUGUCUUUAAUGGAUCAGUGUGCUUGUUACCAAGUAGCGGUAGAGUGUUGUAGUAGUGAAAUGCAGAACUGUAGAUGAUAGGCUUAAGCAACUGAUUACGGUGAAGAUUGAAUAACCAGAAAUCAAAAUCUUUCACUAGCUGUCCAUUAUUGGCAUAAAGACAUACACAUCUUCCUAGUUAUUUUUAUACAACUAUUUUUAUGUAUACAAAACUCAAAUAUAAUAUCUAUUGAAAUAUAUCAACAAAGAGAAGAAAAAAACACACUUAUUAUAUCAAUAAUUAUAAGCUAAGCAAGAGAAGAAAAAGGAAGAAGAAAUAUUAUAAAACUGUUUCUAUACACAUGCUAAACACACACAAAAAUUCACUUAAACAGAAAAAAAA